GAUGAAGAACGUAGCGAAAUGCGAUAAGUAAUGUGAAUUGCAGAAUUCAGUGAAUCAUCGAAUCUUUGAACGCACAUUGCGCCCCCUGGUAUUCCGGGGGGCAUGCCUGUCCGAGCGUCAUUACAACCCUCGAGCUCAGCUUGGUAUUGGGCCCCGCCGACCCGGCGGGCCCUAAAGUCAGUGGCGGUGCCGUCCGGCUCCGAGCGUAGUAAUUCUUCUCGCUCUGGAGGUCCGGUCGUGUGCUCGCCAGCAACCCCCAAUUUUUUUCAGGUUGACCUCGGAUCAGGUAGGGAUACCCGCUGAACUUAAGCAUAUCAAUAAGCGGAGGA
rnacentral:misc_RNA from 1 species